UACGAAGGGGGCUAGCGUUGCUCGGAAUUACUGGGCGUAAAGCGCACGUAGGCGGCUUCUUAAGUCGGUGGUGAAAUCCUGGAGCUCAACUCCAGAACUGCCUUCGAUACUGGGAAGCUCGAGUCCGGGAGAGGUGAGUGGAACUGCGAGUGUAGAGGUGAAAUUCGUAGAUAUUCGCAAGAACACCGGUGGCGAAGGCGGGUCUCUGGGCAGUAACUGACGCUGAGGAGCGAAAGCGUGGGGAGCGAACAGG
rnacentral:rRNA from 1 species